rnacentral:lncRNA from 1 species
CGCGGUGCCAAACAUUGCGAGCGGCAUACGCAGACGCCACGUUUCGCGCCUCCUUUGUGCUUUUGUAGCGUAGUUCCGUGUUCGCGAAGCCGUGUGCCUAGGAUGCACCAAACGUGAAACUGACGGCAAGCCACUCUUCUGGAUUCGAACACGUAACUACGCUACAAAAGCACAAAGGAGGCGCCAAGCGUUGGCGUCGUUCCACCGCGCCGCGUCUGCGAAGCGAGACGCGGCGGAAGGUCUGGCUUCAAAGAAUCGGCUGGGUUGAUUUCAACCCAACGCAAUGGUCCCGGCUAUGUGAGGUUCUGUUGCCGUUUUGCGCGUGGUGAGGCCACAGAACGCCUACGAUGUCUUCAGAGCAGAACCAGCAAGGCAUGAACUUUACCACCAAGCUACCCGAGACUCAUCCUGUAGUCACUGUGUCACAAGCCACUAUACCUCCAGUCACAACUGCCGCAGCUG